GGGCAGAACAGAAGCAGAACAGAGCAGGUAUGAAGGUGGGUGAGACAGAGAAGGAGAGAAAGAGAGAGAGAAAGAGAGAGGGAAAGAGUAAGCAGCACAAACAGAAGCCACUUAGAGGGGGACACAGGACACAGAGGCUGAGGGUUUGCAAUUGCUUAACCCCUUAAGGAUCACCCGAUUUCUUUAUACGAGCUUGAAGAUGACAUACCCAAAAUAAAAUGGUUACUACUUGAACCCUUUUGACUACAGGCACAAUCUUGGUCUCUUCUGAAAGGUACAGUAACCCGUGGGGGUGUUUUUUCCCAAAAGCCAAAAUUACUGCAGCAAAAACAGACAAAUCCCUAUCAAAUUUGAUGACCAUAUCACCAAAAAUUUGCAUUCUGCAUUGUUUUUUCUAAGAUACUUCUAGGCAGGUUUCCAAAAAGGACAUUUGGAGGAUCCAAAAGGACACAUGUAAACUAAAUGAUAUUAUGGGUCGUGUAUGAGGUGUAAAAUGCUAUAGAUUGCACACUAAAUGCUAAAACACUUUUUAUCCUGAAAAUGUGUUCUCACUUCCCCCCCGCCCGUCAGCCUCCCCUGCCUCUCCCUCUCAAAACCCCUCUCCCCGUCUGGAAGCAGCAUUCCAGGAGGUUGUAAUUACAUAAUUACAAUAAUUACAACAAUAACAACUUGUAUACUAAUAGAUUGAUUGAGGUCCACUGAUUGAAGAUUCAAGGGCCUGCUCCCUAUUUAUAAGCAUACAGAAUCAUAAUAAACCAUUUUGAGAAUAUAUUUAGAUGCUUGCCGGUGUAAAAUGGGGUCACGUCACUGGAAAUGAUCCAAAACACCUCUGCCAAAGCAAAAAGUGCUAAAGGUCCAAAAAGUUGAAGUUUCUUGACUGGCCAACUCAAUCAUCUGUCCUCAAUCCAAUUGAGCACGCAUUUCACUUGCUGAAGACCAGACUGAAGGCAAAUAGCCCCUGAAACUGAAGCGGGCUGCAGCACAGGCCUGGCAGAGUUGCAGCAGGAGACACCCAGCAGCUGAUGAUGUCUGUGGGUCGUAAACUUCAGGCAGACAUUGACUGCAAAGGAUUUGCAAAAAAUAUUGAAUGUGUUAUUAUUUUUGAAUAUAUUUAUAUUUUAUUUCAGUUUGUGUUAAUCUGUCCAAUUGAUUUUGGUCCACUAAAAUUUGGGGGACUGUGUAUACAUUUGGCUGUAAUUCCUACAUGGUUCAUCCAAUAUAGAUGUGAAAACCCUCAAAUGAAAGCUGAACCAUUCACUUCAACAGGUUGUUUGCUGGAGUACAGAGCAAAAAUAACAAAAAAUGUGUCACUGUCCAAAUACUUACAGACUGCACUGUAUAGGUGUAGGUUGUCGUGACUGUUGCAGGGAACUGAUUCCACCACUGGGGGGCCACAAUAGAGAAGAGACACGGCCAACAGGGGGCCAUUUCAGGAAGGGGUGGAAAAGUCACCAGACACUGUAGUAUGGAGUGGUCUCGCAGCACAGGAGCGUAAAGAUUGGUAACAGAUUGCAGAAGUGUAAGGUUUGAUAAUACAUUCAGUCAGCACUUCAUUAGGUAUUUAUUAGACUUCUUUUUUUAAACGUAUGAAGUCUUCUGCUGCUGUAGCCUAUCCACUUAGAGGUUUGACCCAUUGUGCGUUCAGAGAUGCUCUUCUGCAUAUCACUUUUGUAAUGUGUUGUUACUUGCAUUACUGUCACCUUCCUGUCAGCUUUGACCAGUCUGGCCCUUCUCCUCUGACCUCUCAUUGACAAGGCGUUUCUGCCCACAGAACUGCUGCUCACUGGAUGACCAAGAACCCAACCGUCACUUUAACAGAGCUUCGUAAGUCCUCUGCUGAGAUGGGAGAAUCUGCCGGAAGGAUGACCAUCUCAGCAGCACUCUCAAUCAGACCUUUAUAGUAGAGUGGCUAGAUGGACGGCAGUCUUGAGCUUGGAGUUCGCCAAAUGGCAUUUAAAGAGCAUGAGGAAAAAGAUUGUCUGGUCUGAUGAGACAAAAAUGUAACUCUUUGGGCAGAAUUCCAAGCACUAUGUCUGGCGAACACCAGGCACUGCUCAUCUCCUGGCUAACACCAUCCCUACAGUGAAGCAUGGUGGUGGCAACAUCACGUUAUGGGGGUGCUUCUCAGUGACAGGGACAGGGAGACUGGUCAGAAUUGAGGGAAGGAUGAAUACAGAGAGGUCCUUGAGGAAAACCAGCUCCAGAGUGCACAUGACCUCAGACUGGGGCGACGGUUCACCUUUCAGCAGGACAAUGACCUGGAGCAUCCAGCCCAGACAAUGCUGCGGCUUCAGGACAGGUCUCUGACUGUCCUUGAGUGACCCCGCCUAAGCCCAGACUUAAACCCCACAGAACAUCUGUGGAGAGACCUGAAGAUGGCAGUUCACUGAUGCUUCCCAUCCAAUCUCACGGAGCUUGAGAGGAUCCAGGAAGAAUGGGAUAAACUGCCCAUAUCCAGGUGUCCAAAGCUUAUUGAGAAGCAUCACAGCUGUAAUUGCUGCCAAAUGGGCUUCUACAAAGUACUGAAUUAAGGGUCAGAAUACUUACAGUGUAUAAAUCAUAAAUACAUUUAUUUGCAAAAAUCUCUAAAAAAAGUUUUUUCACUUUGUCAUGAAGGGUUAUCGAGUGUAGAUUGAUAGCCAAUGAUGGCAAUUCUUUUUAAGAUCAAAUCUCUAACACAAUGAAGUGCAAAAAGUGAAUGGUGAAAAAAAAGUGAAUACUUUCUGAAGUCAAUGUAGAUUGCAGAAGUGUAAGGUCUGAUAAUAGAUUGCAGAAGCAUAAGGUUUGAUAGUAGGUUGCAGAAGUGUAAGGAAUAGGGAUUGAUAAUAGAUCCCAGAAGUAUAAGGUUUGAUAGUAGAUCACAGAAGUAUAAGGUUUGAUAAUUAUUGCAAUACUGUACAGACAUGCUAAAAUAUAAAGCAGCCCCAAGAGCUAUGGAAAUUCAUCUAUUUUGCACUAGGGUACAGGGGAUGCAGGGAUUAUAUGUGCCUGUUUUUUUGUCUUGUAUUCUAUGUUGGUAAAAUAACUUUAGCUCAUGUUAA